UACGUAGGGGGCUAGCGUUGUCCGGAUUUAUUGGGCGUAAAGAGCGUGUAGGCGGCCAUGUAGGUCCGGUGUGAAAACUCGAGGCUCAACCUCGGGACGUCGGCGGAAACCAUCUGGCUAGAGUCCGGAAGAGGAGAGUGGAAUUCCCGGUGUAGCGGUGAAAUGCGCAGAUAUCGGGAAGAACACCCGUGGCGAAGGCGGCUCUCUGGGACGGUACUGACGCUGAGACGCGAAAGCGUGGGGAGCGAACAGG
rnacentral:rRNA from 1 species